UUAUAUUAUUUUGCCUUGAUUUGUGUUGCAGCUCUGGGAACAUCUCGCCAUUAAAUUACAUGAGGAACAACAGAUACUGCAAAAGCGAGAAGAAGGUGGGGGAGGCUGUCAAGGUGACCUGCUAGAUGGACUGGACCACAUACCUGAUUACCUACAAGAAGACAACCUCACCUUUGCAGUCUAUGACCAAGUUAGAAAAUACUUGGGUCAGGCAUUCGUGAGUCGCGUACAUCCAAUGGGCCAGUUGCUGCAGGCAUUGGCUGAUGCGUUCAGGGCCAGCUAUGGUGGCGUGGCAGCACAUCCGAGGCUGCUUUCAUAUGCUGUGCAGGAGAUCCAUUCGCUUACUCAGAGAGUCUAUCAGCUGGUGAAAGCACUCUU